GUAGGUGGCAAGCGUUGUCCGGAAUUAUUGGGCGUAAAUCGCGCGCAGGCGGUUCUUUAAGUCUGAUGUGAAAGCCCACGGCUCAACCGUGGAGGGUCAUUGGAAACUGGAGAACUUGAGUACAGAAGAGGAAAGCGGAAUUCCACGUGUAGCGGUGAAAUGCGUAGAGAUGUGGAGGAACACCAGUGGCGAAGGCGGCUUUCUGGUCUGUAACUGACGCUGAGGCGCGAAAGCGUGGGGAGCAAACAGGAUUAGAUACCCUGGUAGUCCACGCCGUAAACGACGAGUGCUAAGUGUUAAGGGGUUUCCGCCCCCUUAGUGCUGCAGCUAACGCAUUAAGCACUCCGCCUGGGGAGUACGGCCGCAAGGCUG
rnacentral:rRNA from 1 species